ACUUGCUCUUGCAUGUCCGAGGGCUGUCAUUCUGCUGUCAAAGCACUGGUCUUGGUCCAAAUCUCCCGCCAUGGUUCGUUUUGGCAGCCAUAGACCGGACUUAUACGGAAGCGUCGGUCUAAUCACGUCUAUUGAAAGGCGCUAUAAUUCCGAGAUCCAGCAGACGCCACUCGGAUACCAGCUCUCUGAACGUCGAGGUCGCCACAGUGCGAGUCUCGACAAUUGCACACAUCCUUCAUCGGAGUUGGGACAAGCACCAUCUUCGUAUCAUCACAACCCAACCCAGCACUUCUGUUCAUCUCUCUCUCUCUCUCUCUCUCUCUCUCUCUCUCUCUCUCUCUCUCUCUCGUUCUCUUUCUCUCUCCUGUCAGUCUUUGUGUAUUUAGCACCGCACCAAAACGACACUUGUCUUUGUCAGGACUAGCACGCUACUAACCGACGGCGCUAGCAGCAGGUAUUUGUCCGACAUCCAUUCGGCUAGCUCUCCAUUUUGUGCAAAGACUGCCGAAACGAAAAACCGAGCGGCGAAAAGAAAAAAGGGCCAAAUCCACCAAGUGGGUCCCCCCACCUCCGCCGCCCCUACAGGUUGCUGCCAAACGGGGCUGUGCCAAAUGGAGAAGGGGCCGGCGGCGGGUUGCCUUCAAACACAAAGCCGGGCAAGCUGGCCGUCUGGCAAACCCGACACACGCCGGCGACCAAUAUCCCACGCUCUCUUCCGAAACAUCUACAUCUCAUCACCGUUGCAAACUCACUCCAGCCGGUACUCUAAACCAAAACUUUUUGCUCAUCAAGAAUUUCAGAGUUGGAGCCAAAUUAAAAAGAGUGUAAUUAUGGUUAUCCAGGCAACGGGGGACCGAAAGGGCCAUAUUGGGGCCUCGUUCGAAGACGUAAAUGAGGUAUUUGUGGGAAUCUAAAGAUAUUUACUUAUUCCCGUCAGUCCCAUUGUUGCCGUGUCAAAAUUUCAGCGCAAUCGAACCAUCCAAACCCACUUUGGGAGCAAUUGUACACAUUACACCUUCUGACAAAAAUACUCCAUGAACUAUUUACUCCCAAAAACAAGAACAAAACACGAACACUAUGACAACAAAACACGAAAAAACAGUCACAAGUGGCACGUGAGGUUGGUCUUUUUCGUCUCACGUGAUGGCCACAAAAACACUGGUCGCUUUGCAGUCUCCCUUUGGCUCCCUCUGCUCCAGAGCUCAUCUCUCUCCACGACUUGUCUGAACUCUGCCCUGAAACUCAACUCUAUGAAAUUCAAACUAUAUGCCAGUCC
rnacentral:misc_RNA from 1 species